rnacentral:antisense_RNA from 1 species
CUUCAACGCGCCCAGCCGGAGCGGCUGUUCGGCCUGGCGGUCCUGGCCGUAGGUGGCGAGGAUGGCCUGGGCCUC